rnacentral:lncRNA from 1 species
AAAGUUCUUCCUUAUUUUUUUCUACCAGAAAACUAAAUAUAUGUUAGAUUUUAUUUAGGGUACUUUUAUGGCCACCUGAUUUGCUGGACUUUCUGUCUUUAGUUGAAGAGACAAUGCAACUUCUACUUUUCCUGGAUAUUUUCCCUCAUCCAUCAACCACUUGGGUAGCUUUGUUCCUAAGUAAUACUUAUUUUUCCACUGUUGGUAUAAUGCCAUAUAUCUGAUUUAAAACUAUAUUCAGUAAAUUUUUAUCAACACUUGAAAUGUGAGGUGGUGUAAUAUGAUUGAGAAUUCUGGAGACACUUCCUCUGAUAGCCUUGAACCUUUUUUGUCCUGUG